AUUGAACGCUGGCGGCAGGCCUAACACAUGCAAGUCGAGCGGAGCGGCAGACGGGUGAGUAAUGCCUAGGAAUCUGCCUGGUCGUGGGGGAGAACGUUCAGAAAUGGGCGCUAAUACCGCAUACUAUCAGAUGAGCCUAGGUGGGAUUAGCUAGUUGGUGGGGUAAAGGCCUACCAGGGCGACGAUCCGUAACUGGUCUGAGAGGAUGAUCAGUCACACUGGAACGGGAACACGGUCCAGACUCCUACGGGAGGCAGCAGUGGGGAAUAUUGGACAAUGGGCGAAAACCUGAUCCAGCCAUGCCGCGUGUGUGAAGAAGGUCUUCGGAGUGUAAAGCACUUUAAGUUGGGAGGCGUUACCAACAGAAUAAGCACCGGCUAACUUCGUGCCAGCAGCCGCGGUAAUAC
rnacentral:rRNA from 1 species